AUCGGAACAUAAUUCCAAAAUGUAAAAUAAGGUAAAACUGUACCUUGCUCCAUCCCAGGGAGUAUGAGCAAUGUUUAUGAUAUGCAAAACCUGUUCCACUUAUUUCCUUCCAUACUUUUCUUCCUGUGUUUCUAUUUCUGCCAUCAUAUUUUUUUGUAUUCUUAUGUCUGAGUCACUGUUUCUCUGGCAUUAUCUUUUAGUGUGUGCUUCUCUUACUGCUAGAGUCUGAAUGUUGGUGUCCCCUCAAAAUCCAUAUAUUGAAACUUAACCCGGAAGGUGAUGGUAUUAGGACGUGGGAACUCUGGGAGGUGAUGAGGUCAUGAGAGUAGAGCCCUCAUGAAUGGGAUUAAUGCUCUUCAAAAGAGGCUCCAGCUCCUUCGCCCCUUCUGCCAUGUGAGGACUCAGUGAGAAGGCACCGUCUAUGAAGCGGGAAGCCCUCACCAGGCACCAAAUCUGUCAGUGCUUUGACCUUGGACUUCCAGGCUCCAGAAAUGUGAGAAACACAUUUCUGUUGCUUAUGAGCCUCCCAGUUUAUGGUGUUUUGUUAUAGCAGCCCCAACAGACUAAGCCAUUUGCUUAGUUCCAAGAUCAAAUGUAAUGUUGGGCAAUGAAUGAAAAGGAGAACAGAACCCUCAAAUGUCCAGUAGGGGAAGGCCAAAGCUGUUUCUUGUUUCUGCACAAAGGAGAUGACUUCAUUUCCUUAGAAGGUAAAUGAAUUAGAGAAGGGAUUAGAAACAGGCUUUUUUCUGCAGGAAAGAAACAUAGAGGGUCAGUGUUCAGUGUCUUCUUCUAGUCAUAUCCCUUUACUUGGUCAGACACCAAGGGUCUGGGCCCAGGAUCUGCUGGGGAAAGUCAAUCAUGAAAGGAACAUUGGGACAGAUGAGCCACUUGGCUCUUUUUCAUUCCUGAUGCUUUGCAGGGGAUCAGACAAUUAUCUUGCCCUCCCCCUCUUCUCUCACCAAGAGACUUCCAUCAGAGGCAUGCAUGAGCUGCUCAUGCAGUCUGUGGAAGGGCCAGGAGCACAUUGAGCUUCGCAAAAGGGUGAAGCCUUCUGGGUUCACCCUUUUGCCAAUACAGGGGCCAAACCACACUGGUUUGCAAUGUCAUGGCCCAGCAAAGUGUGCAAGUGAGCACAAGUGGAGCAAUUCAGCAGUGACAGGUACCAGAUAAAUGAGCUGGCCUGACCCUGGAUGAAUUUCUUCACAGUCAUUCUGAAAAUGUGAGUGUUAAGUGUUGAAUUGUGUUCCCCUCAAAAAUGUGGAAGUCCUAGCCCCCAGUACUUGUGAAUGUGAUCUUAUUUGGAAAUUGAGUCUUUGCAGAUGAUCAAGUUAAGAUGAGGUCAUUAGGGUGGGCCCUAAUCCAAUAUGGCUGGUGUCCUAAAAAUCAAGGGGAUGUUGGGGCACAGACACAGACACACACAGACACAGACACACACACACACACACGUGCAUGCAGAAAACACCAUAUGAAGACUGGAGUUAUGCUGCCCGAUGUGAAAGAAAUCCCAGAAGCUGGGAGAAAGGCCUGGAACAGAUCCUUCCCUAGAGCCUUCAGAGGGAGCAUGUCCCUGCUGACACCUUGAUCUUGGACUUCUGUCCUCAAGAACUGUGAGAGAAUAAAUUUCUGUUGCUUAUGCCACUACAUUUAUGGCCCUUUGUUAUGGCAGCCACAGCAAACUAAUGUGUUGAGCAAAGGUCAAGUAGCAGGAAUCACCCAGAGCACCUUUCCUUCUCCAGUGAGUGCUACCAAGAAAGCGUUUUCCUUUUGAGACAACAAUUCUCAUAGAAGCAGCGUACACUAAGAGGGACCUUCUGUUACCCAGUCUGGGAGGCUGUUGUCUUCACCCCAUUAUCUUCCUGCCCCCACUAUCAUCACCUACAGAAGUCAUAUGAAGAAAUGAACUUUCAGAGGAAAGCUUUUCAUUAUUAAAGCAAAACAAAGGUGUAAUCAGGCAACAUUCAGAAGUGAGGGGAGCAGGAGGACUUAAAGAAGAAAUGGAAAAUAAGCAAAAUUGGGGAAGUGGCAUUUACAUUUAAGAUUUGCUUUUGCAUCUUCUGCAUGGGAACUUCGACCCACGGCUAUGUGACUAUGAGGCAACUGUAAAUGCAUCACAAAGAUGGGGGUGGAUGGAAGCUCAAAGGAUUCAAAAGAUGCCAGAGGAAAGUGAAGCUCAAAUUGGGCCCCCUGGCCCAGCAGCAUCAGCAUCUCCUGGGAGCUCGUUAGAAACAAGAAUUCUCAGCCGCCCCAGGCAUACAGGAUCAGGAAUUCUGGGUGGGGGCCCAGCCAUCUGCGUUUUAACAAGCCCUCUAGGGGAUUCUGAUACAUAGUACACAAAAGCUUGAAAAGCAUCUUGCUGGGGAAACCACAAAAGGGAGAGAGGUGGAAGGGGAAAGGCAGCAAGAUCCAAAAUGCUGUUCUAAGGCAAUGCUUGGCCUGAACAAUGUCAAAUCAUACUUUUAAAAAAAUCCAGCUGAAACUAGAAAUCAUAAAAUGAUCACAUGUUACAUUUUACCUGAAAGCAUAAAUGUACAUCAUUUACUAAUCUUUCAACAAGGAGCCAAGGCCUUUUGCAUCUCUGGGUGCGGUGGGUCAGCAGUGCCACUUCAUCCUUCUUACUAAUGCACAGUGGAUGAACCACAUCCACUGUGCAUCAUCUAUUCUUCCAGUUCCAGGGCUUUUUUUUUUUUUAACAGCAAAUUUAAGAAACGACUACAAAGCAGUGAGUGAAAAAUUAUUCUGAUUUUUAUGAUAUUUUCUAAACCCCUUCCAGUUUCAUGGCAACAUUUUUUGGGAUUCUCCUUCAAAGCCUUCCUUAUCAUUCAUUAGUCUUUAUAUACUUGGCUUAUGCAUUUACAUUGCAUUGUCUGUUGUUUUGGUUAAUUAAAAUAAUUACGUUACUGGCUCAUGCUAAGCCGGCUGCUCAACUAGGAGGAUGGGGACCUCCUGGCUGUAGGGAUCAACCUGCACUCUAGCCUGGGUGACUGAGCAGGACUCUGUCUCCAAAAAAAAAAAAAAAACAACAACAAUGGAAAAAAACAAACAAAAAAACUUUUGGAAAAAAAUCGGGAUAACUCAUUAAAAUUAAAGGAAAUAAAAUGAAAGAUAGCAGUUGGGUGUAUCAAGGCAGGAUUUAAAGGAAAAAUAUUAAUUUUUACUUUAAUCAAUUUUUAGCUAUUUUAUCUAUUAUCAGUCAUGUGAAGUGGGAAAAUUAUAUUUCUUUUUCUUUAUGAGACAAUAUUUAUUCUGUUUAUGAUUAUGUAUCCCAAUAAAUAUAAGUCCCAGCAUCAUCCAUGAAAAUGGCUACUGAUUCAAAAGCUUGAUUCCUUGGGCUAGACACUGGAAGACUCAAAAGUCCCAAAGGAAAUCAAUAUUCUCUUUGUUUUAUUUAUUUUGUUUUAACCUCAUGGGUAUCUAUAGGUGAAGUUUGGCAUAUAAUAUAUUUUUUAUUUCUUGUGAACCAAACUUCAUUUAAUAAUAGAUAAUAACAAUAGCUAACAUUCAUUGAUUAAAAUGUGUUAGGGCCUUAUUAAUUACUUUAUAUUAAUUUUUAUUUAAUUAUCGUAACAACCUGAUGAUAUAGGUACGGUUAAAGUAUAAUUUUUAACAAGUUAAAAACAUGAAUGUCAUAUACAUACGGAAUGAAAACAUUCCAAACAGUCAUUUAACUCAUUAAUGAUUGGAACCAUUACAAAAUUAAACUAAUUCCAAGAGCAUUUUGAGGAAUCUGGUAUUUAUAGACAUUUUGAGGGAAAAAAAAGUGUUGAAUAAGAUUUUGAGGCUACAUUUAAAACUGGUUAAUAUCCUUCAAAGCAAUAAAACCACAGUAUUUGAUGUUAUCUUUUCUAUUGGAUAGAAAUUUAUGAAUUAACGUAACUUCAGUCAUCUAAAUUCUAACCAAAUAGAAAAUAGAAAGUCAAACACAGGUACAUUCCCUAGAUAAUGAAGUAACUUUUAGCACCAGUCAGUGCUCUGGUAAAAUUUUGAAAGGUCAUGCCGCACCCUUUUAACCUUAUUCAACUUUUAGAUAAUUUUUCUUGAUAAAAUUAUAAUUGUGUACAUUUUACCAAUGAGGAAAUUGAUGCUUAGAGAUAUUAAAUAACAUGAUAAGGGAAUCACAGUAAGGGUAGAGCAAAAGUGGAACCCAGGUCCUUCUGAUACUUUAAUCCACUGUCUUAUACCAGUUGAAAGCCAUUUUUAUCUGUCCUAUAAAAUUCUUUGUGUGUGUGUGUGUAUUCAACAUUACUUAAAAUAAAUGGAAUCAAUAUUUGAGAUUGAAAAACCUGUAUUAUAUGAAAAUUUUUAUUAUGAUGGUAUCAGUUGCAGUGAGAUUUGUCCUAUCAAGGAUUUUGUUCUGUUUUGUUUACAUGUACAUACAUGCUUACAAUGGUGGAAUGAUGCAUUCUUUGCAAGCAAACCAGACCCCAACUAAUGGUGGGUAAAGGACUCAGAGUUAGAAGUUAUGCCGAAGAUAGACUAUAACAGGAUAUAGUUAUGCCGAAGAUAGACUAUAACAGGGCUAAAAAAUGAAGGAGGGAGACAGACUUUGACAGCAAUGAUCUGAAGAGCCUUGAUGGAAGAAAGCUGAGAAGGAAAAAACUACAAACACUGAAAUGUACUUAACUCUCACCUUUUCAGUUUGAAGCUGUUCAUAGUGAACUCAGCCUGUGUUCUAAAUAAACAGACACCAAAAAAAUCAUGUGGGAGCUAGAAUGUUGACUCUGGGGAUUCUGAAUAUUGAGCUGAUUUAUAGUAUUCCAACUCUUUGAUAAAUGUCUAAAAUGUUUCAAUACUUAGGCUAUCUAUGAUUUAUUUGUAUUUGAUAUUAGCUUUAUGAUGAUAUUGUUUAUAAAUCAGCAUGGAUUUUGUGUGAGUUAUUACAAGAAAAGUUUACUCUUCUGAUUAAUUAAGGAAAGAACCACCUAACUUUGUGAAACUUCUGACUAAUCAACAUUUGAAAUGUGUUUGUUGGCAUGGUUUUCUAAAAUAGGGAGUAUAAUAAAGUAGGUUAAAAGAAUGUUGUAUAGUGAAGGUCCCCAAGAGAUUGACCUAAUUUAUUUAUUGUUUAAAACAAAACAAACAGAACAAAACUAAAAAUGAUGGACUUGUACUUCAGACUAGUAUAGAAUAACAAGGUCCAGAUUUACCCUCUUACCUGAAAUAACACAAAAAAAACUACACAAAAUAUAUGAAGUAGUGAUUUUCAAGACACUAAUAUCAGCUAAUGAAGGACAGUGGUCCUUGAGAGAUGAUAAAUGAAGUGAACUCUAUGAUUUCCCAAGCUUACUGCCUUGGGAGAAUUUCCAGACCAUCAUGCUGGGGAAGGGGGUCGGUGGAGCUUGAUGAACUCCAUGAUAUGAGGAGGUGGAGCUGAGAGUCCAGGGAGAACAACAAGGCUAGAAUUCACAGAAAAGAGUACCAGGGAGGAGAGAGCUGCCCAGAGAUAGGACUCUGGAUACCUGCAGAAUAUCCAUCACAGUACUGACAGUGUAUUCAUGUGAGGAUGCUACCCAGAACCAGAGAAAUAAUGACCUGAAAGGAUUACAGGCAGUGAUAUGCAGCACUCUCACUGGCAUGGGAAUAGUGCCUAUUCCACCAGCAAGACUUAGAAAACCUCAUAAUUCAUGAAGCAUUAGAUGGUAAACUCUGAAGGAUCUUGCCUCAAUAAUGGAAGAAUAAUUCGUUCUAAACACAACUCUGGCCCCGCCUAACAAAUCUUAAGAGCAAGACCCAAAUGGAUCAAAAAGUUAGGUAGAGACAUGGAAGAUAUAGAAAAGACCCAAUUCAAACUUCUAGAGACCAAAACUGCAAUGUUGGAGACAAAGUAGACCACAUGGGAAUAGUGACAGAGUAGACAUUGUAGAAGAAAAGGUUAGUGAAUGUGAAGAUAUGUCAAUAAAAGCUAUCCAAAAUAAAACAUACAGAAAAAUUGUUUAAAUGAACAGCACAUCAGUGAUCUGUGUGAUAACUUCACACAGCCUAAGAUAUAUGUGCAAUUGGAUUCCCUGAAGGGGGAAGAGGGAUUAUAGGAAAAAAUUUCAAUACAAUAGCCAAAAAUAUAAAACUAUAAACUCACAUAUCUAAGUAGGUCAAUAAACCUAAAGCAUAAAAAA
rnacentral:lncRNA from 1 species